AACCACGUAGCUCAGUUGGAAGAGCAUUGGGCUAGUAUUCCAAAGGUCGUAGGUUCGAAUCCCACCGUGGCCG
rnacentral:tRNA from 1 species